rnacentral:rRNA from 1 species
AGUUGUAGUUUAAAGAAGCGUUUUCGGUGGCAGCCUGGGUAUAAAUCCUUUGGAACAGGGUAUCGUAGAGGGUGAGAAUCCCGUCUUUGACUCAGUGCUAUGCUACUCUGUGAUACGUUUUCAAAGAGUCGAGUUGUUUGGGAAUGCAGCUCAAAAUGGGUGGUAAAUUUCAUCUAAGGCUAAAUAUUGGCGAGAGACCGAUAGCGAACAAGUACCGUGAGGGAAAGAUGAAAAGAACUUUGAAAAGAGAGUUAAACAGUGCGUGAAAUUGUUGAAAGGGAAACGUUUGACACCAGCUAUGCAGGCGGAAAAUCAGUCAAGUGCAGUGAGGGGUUGUGUGGGUCUGGACCGCAAGGCCGGCCUUUACCUCAUCUUUGCUGUAGGUGAUGCACUUUUUCGUCCGCAGGUCAACAUCAGUUUCGCCCGCUGGACAAAACUCCGAGAGAAGGUAGCAGCUUAGGCUGUGUUAUAGCUCUGGAGCGAUACAGUGGGUGGGACUGAGGAUUCGCAGUGUGCGCUCUCGGGCAAGGCUGACUGGGUGCUCUGGGGUUGUUUGGCGUACAAUGCAUGCAUUUUGCGCCUUGUCUUCCUCAUACUCGCUCAAUUCGGCUCUUCCACGCUUAGGAUGUUGACUUAAUGGUUUUAAACGACCCGUCUUGAAACACGGACCAAGGAGUCUAACAUGCAUGCAAGUGUUUGGGUGGCAAACCCAUGCGCGUAAUGAAAGUGAACGUAGGUGCGAUCCGCAAGGUGCAGCAUCGACCGAUCUUGAUAUUUUUGGAUAGAUUUGAGUAAGAGCAUGUAUGCUGGGACCCGAAA